AUGGGACAAAAGAAUAAGCAAAUAAAAGCUUUUAUGUUUAGAUAUACCAAGGCUCAACUCUGCAGUUUUAUACUAUACGGCAACAUUUGCCUUUAUAAGAUUGAGGUAUACAACCUAUUUUCAGGGUGUUUGUGUAGGUUAAGGCAGUCCAUUAUGUCACACAGCGCAGGCACAUAGCAAGUGCUCACUAUUAUAUGGCAGCUGAGACAGCUAUGUAGAUAAUUCAGAUUGAGAAACAACCCAGUGUAUCCCAAAUUACCCAGACACUGUCUAUAUAUAAUAUUCUCUUGGAGUAAUCAGUAUAGGAUAACAUAAGAACACUGGACUCAAAAUCAGAAGACUGGAAAUCAACUGUUGGCUCUAUAAUGAUACCACUACAAAUUAGACCACUAAAUCUCAACUUAGGGGUGGGGUGAAAUUCUUAACAUCAUCAAAAAGUUAAAUUUGUUUUCAAUAAUUUGUGGGGGGGAAACUUAGAUAAAAUUAACUAACACCUUGCAUUACAGAAUUCUCAGUCAUGCUUUCAUGGCUCAGACCUGACCAGAGACUGUUUCUGCCAAGUUGAGAUCUCCCGCGAGAAAACAUCCAAAAGUUUUGUCAUUAUCUACCUAUUGCUCGGAAAUGGUUUAUUCUGCCUGCUAACCACUCACAAACUUUGAUAUGAUAACAAAGACUAACUGCUGCUUACAAAUGCUCGUUUGAUAUUUAACUUGCUAUUUUCUAUUCAGGGCAAAAUAACUAUCUUGAAAA
rnacentral:lncRNA from 10 species